rnacentral:lncRNA from 1 species
GAUGAGAAAAAUAAGGAGUGGAUACAUUAAAUAACUUGUCUAAGAGUGACAUUUGAAUCAUCCUCCUUAAUCAAGCAGCUCUGUACCUGCUUUGAAGAAGAAAGGCUCAGGAGGCAUUCAGGGCAUCAAAUGGUUCCUCCUAAGCAGUGUUUCAAUGCCACAGUGAUCAUGCAUAUAUAACAGGGAUCCAGGAGAAAAAAACACUAUUCAUAAGCAAAGGAUAAACUAUGAGAGUGGAAACACCGAGGAAAAGCAACUGCCAGAAUACAGCGGUUGAGGGGACA